UUCAAAAAGUAUGAAAGGAAAAUAUAUGUAAAGAAACGCGAACUUCAUGAAUUUCACCUCCAAUAUCAUUCUCAAUGAAUUACUGGUAUUUCACGCAGGUACCAUAAUUUACAGUAUUAUAAUGUUUUUUUUUUUUUUUUUUUUAAUAAAAUAACGCACAAUUAUAAUUUGCAUUUUUAAAUAUCGAAACAACAGUAUUUUAUGGCAAUGAGGAACACGUGCAUAUACAUAAUAUGUAUAUGUACCAUGCACCUAUGUAGCAGGUAUAUAUGCAUAUAUUAAAUGUUUUCAGGGCUCUGAAAACACAAAAUGGUUAUUUAAUUCAAUUAAUGCACAGCAAACCGUAAGAUUGCAUCACACCCAAAUAUUAAACUGCAGUUAAUGAAAGUAUUGGUAUUGUUUAUUAAUUUUACUUCAGUAUUGAUUAUUAAUUAAUGUCAUAUUUACGUACCUUUCCAGUUCAUCGCGUAUACUUUUAGAUAAAUUCGAGUCUUCUUUACACCGUUUGCAUUCCUCUAUUAAAUCAUAAUUUAGUUUAGUGAUCUUCCUCUGCAUGCUGGGUACAAUAAACGAAAGCCAUCCAUUAACUCGGUCCACAGUAUUUCCAUCAGUCGUUGAAUUUUGUCCCGUGGUGGCGCGUUCCGAAUUCGCACUACCACCACUCAUUACUGCGCCUAGUUUUUGGCCUCCAGCUGUUUGGUGUUUAACUAACUCCUAUUUUUUUGGUAUAAGUUAUCGUUGGCGUAAUUUCUGUUUUCACAUCCAGAAUUAACAAAACAUAUCUAUAUUUUUUUCCACUUUUCCUUCAAGAAAAUUUACAAUUUACCUUCUUUUUAUUAUUUUCCUUUGCCUUACUUAAACUUGAAAUUUUAUGCUUCUAUUGGCUAAUGUUUGCAUUCAAACUAUUGCGCACUUUUUAUGUUUAGGUUGCAAAACUCACUUCAAUACUUUUAAAUUUAUCGUGUAAAUAAAAAUAGAACUGUUAAAUUGUUUGAGAGAAAAAAUCAUUUGUUUUGCUUUUGUCUCACAAUGAAUACAAGCAAAGUUAGUGCUACCAGCAAACUUUAUUCAUUACAAAUAUGUAGAAGGAUGCCACCAGGUAAAGGCUGUCACGGAUGCCAUAUAAAAUAAAUUCCAAAUACAGGGUUGCUACAACUAUUUAUUUGUUCGCCUGAUUGCCAACCGGUAACAUUUUUCGCUGUUGUGAGUUGAAAAAAGUUUACCUCUGUUUUGCCAAAUGGAAAGUAAAAUUUUGACAAUUGAAAUUCAAAACAAACAUAAUUGUGUGAAUUAUAUUGUUUCAGCAAGAUUUCAGUUCAAACUUCUGAGAUUUUAAAGCUAUGUUUAAUAAAAUCUUAUUUUAGAGAUCAUAGUCUAUUUAUUGAUUUCAAAUUUAUUUAAUAUUCUUUUGUAAAACAAGGCGAAAUCACUCUGAGCUUAGCGAGUAAAAACAGUAACUAACUAUUUGCAAAAAAAGUGUUACAACAACAAUUAAUUGUUACGGAAACAAUUAUUUUUUGGAGUUUACUCCUUAAGAAUCGAUUUUCAUAUAUAAGGCGCCCGGUAAAGUUUCACGUUUUUGGUGCGCACCUGUAGUGCGCAACUUUCUAAUUUAGCUGUGAGUGUAUUGAGACGUACAUAGGGUAUGAUGUAUAGGCGACUAUACCUAUAUACUAUAUGUUAUUGGGCUUGUUUGUUUCUAUCAGUGUCGAUGUAUUUAUAUUGCUAUUUUUGUUAUAAAUAUCAAUAAUUAACAUUGUAAUUGUGAAGUUAUAAUUUUUUUUUAAUCAAAAAAAAAAUUCGAAAUAUUUAUGGCAAAAGGGUGCAGAUAAUAUUGCCGGAACAUCUGACGAAAACGUGUGUGCAAGGAAAAAAUCAAAACCACCUCCAAAACCUCCAGCCGAGAGACAACGAAUUUGCAGAUUGAAAAAAAAGCGCAUUAAUGAAGGAAGCACAAAAGAUUCUGACAACCAGAAUGUUUGUUCAUCGGAACAAAGGAUCUUACGCCACUUUUUGAAUUUUCUUCAUCGGUCCGAUUUAUAUGAAAGCAAGCUGAAGCAAAACCAAUCCGAUUGUUCCGCUGUCUUUUUUGUCCACAUUGGGACUUCCCGGCACAAUCUUCCGAGGAGAUUAUUUUCUAAAAGGCGACGCACAACAGUUCUCGAAGAAAGUUCCAUACCCAAUUCUCUUUGGAUAGCUAACGUCUUCCUGAGACGUCGUUUUUCGUGGCAGACCCCUCAAUUCGCAUUAUUUUGGAGGUUUCAAAGCAGUAAACUCAAACUUUUGGCAUCUUUUUAUACUUUUUGAAAAUUCACUUUGUGUAUAACCGUUAUUUUGUAAAUUUGUAUAAGCUUAAGCUCUACCGCCUGUGCAGUGCUUUCCUCGGCCAUUUAUUCUACAAAUAAUACUUGAUUAUAAGAAAAUGUCAAAUUUUACUAAUAUCCUAAGGAUUAUAUAUUUGCAGCAUAAUUUUUUACUAAAUAACGGUAUUUUAUUUUUUGAUUCUAUUUCUUUUUUGUCACGAUAACAAAUACCCACUUUUGUUUAAUUUGAACACAAAGAUAACAGUAAAAUAUAACGGAGCUACCAUCAUGAUGUUUUGAAAGAUAAAUAUAUCGGACAUAUAAUAUAGAUUGUUAAUUAUUUCGGAA